rnacentral:rRNA from 1 species
GACGAACGCUGGCGGCGUGCCUAAUACAUGCAAGUAGAACGCUGAAGGAGGAGCUUGCUUCUCUGGAUGAGUUGCGAACGGGUGAGUAACGCGUAGGUAACCUGCCUGGUAGCGGGGGAUAACUAUUGGAAACGAUAGCUAAUACCGCAUAAUAGUAGAUGUUGCAUGACAUUUGCUUAAAAGGUGCACUUGCAUCACUACCAGAUGGACCUGCGUUGUAUUAGCUAGUUGGUGGGGUAACGGCUCACCAAGGCGACGAUGCAUAGGCGACCUGAGGGGGGGGUCGGCCACACUGGGACUUGGGAACCGCCCAGACUCCUUCGGGGGGCAGCAGUAGGGGAACAUUGGCCAUGGGCGGAAGUCUGGCCGCGCAACUCCGCGUGAGUGAAGGAGGUUUUCGGGUCGUAAAACUCUGUUUGUAGGGAAGAACGAGUGUGAGGGUGGAAAGUUCACACUGUGACGGUAUCUUACCAGAAAGGAACGGCUAACUACGUG